GUGCUGCAGCUAACGCAUUAAGCACUCCGCCUGGGGAGUACGACCGCAAGGUUGAAACUCAAAGGAAUUGACGGGGGCCCGCACAAGCGGUGGAGCAUGUGGUUUAAUUCGAAGCAACGCGAAGAACCUUACCAGGUCUUGACAUCCUUUGACCACUCUGGAGACAGAGCUUUCCCUUCGGGGACAAAGUGACAGGUGGUGCAUGGUUGUCGUCAGCUCGUGUCGUGAGAUGUUGGGUUAAGUCCCGCAACGAGCGCAACCCUUGAUUUUAGUUGCCAGCAUUUAGUUGGGCACUCUAAAGUGACUGCCGGUGCAAGCCGGAGGAAGGUGGGGAUGACGUCAAAUCAUCAUGCCCCUUAUGACCUGGGCUACACACGUGCUACAAUGGAUAGUACAAAGGGUCGCGAAGCCGCGAGGUGGAGCUAAUCCCAUAAAACUAUUCUCAGUUCGGAUUGUAGGCUGCAACUCGCCUACAUGAAGCCGGAAUCGCUAGUAAUCGUGGAUCAGCAUGCCACGGUGAAUACGUUCCCGGGCCUUGUACACACCGCCCGUCACACCACGAGAGUUUGUAACACCCGAAGUCGGUAGGGUAACCUUUAUGGAGCCAGCCGCCGAAGGUGGGACAGAUAAUUGGGGUGAAGUCGUAACAAGGUAGCCGUAUCGGAAGGUGCGGCUGGAUCACCUCCUUUCUAAGGAA
rnacentral:rRNA from 1 species